GAGGAAUAUUGGUCAAUGGGCGCGAGCCUGAACCAGCCAAGUAGCGUGCAGGAUGACGGCCCUAUGGGUUGUAAACUGCUUUUGUAUGGGGAUAAAGUCAAUCACGUGUGAUUGUUUGCAGGUACCAUACGAAUAAGGACCGGCUAAUUCCGUGCCAGCAGCCGCGGUAAUACGGAAGGUCCGGGCGUUAUCCGGAUUUAUUGGGUUCAAAGGGAGCGUAGGCCGGAGAUUAAGUGUGUUGUGAAAUGUAGACGCUCAACGUCUGACUUGCAGCGCAUACUGGUUUCCUUGAGUACGCACAACGUUGGCGGAAUUCGUCGUGUAGCGGUGAAAUGCUUAGAUAUGACGAAGAACUCCGAUUGCGAAGGCAGCUGACGGGAGCGCAACUGACGCUUAAGCUCGAAGGUGCGGGUAUCGAACAGGAUUAGAUACCCUGGUAGUCCGCACAGUAAACGAUGGAUGCCCGCUGUUGGUACCUGGUAUCAGCGGCUAAGCGAAAGCAUUAAGCAUCCCACCUGGGGAGUACGCCGGCAACGGUG
rnacentral:rRNA from 1 species